UACGUAGGGCGCAAGCGUUGUCCGGAAUUAUUGGGCGUAAAGAGCUCGUAGGCGGCCUGUUGCGUCCGCUGUGAAAUCCCGGGGCUCAACCCCGGGCGUGCAGUGGAUACGGGCUGGCUGGAGGCAGGCAGGGGAGAACGGAAUUCCCAGUGUAGAGGUGAAAUUCGUAGAUAUUGGGAAGAACACCGGUGGCGAAGGCGGCUCUCUGGACCGUAACUGACGCUGAGGCGCGAAAGCGUGGGGAGCAAACAGG
rnacentral:rRNA from 1 species